rnacentral:rRNA from 1 species
AGUGAACGCUGGCGGUAGGCCUAACACAUGCAAGUCGAACGGCAGCACAGUAAGAGCUUGCUCUUACGGGUGGCGAGUGGCGGACGGGUGAGGAAUACAUCGGAAUCUACUUUUUCGUGGGGGAUAACGUAGGGAAACUUACGCUAAUACCGCAUACGACCUACGGGUGAAAGCAGGGGAUCUUCGGACCUUGCGCGAUUGAAUGAGCCGAUGUCGGAUUAGCUAGUUGGCGGGGUAAAGGCCCACCAAGGCGGCGAUCCGUAGCUGGACUGAGAGGAUGGUCGGCGACACUGGAACUGAGACACGGACCAGACUCCUACGGGAGGCAGCAGUGGGGAAUGUUGGACAAUGGGCGCAAACCUGAUCCAGCCAUACCGCGUGGGUGGAGAAGGCCUUCGGGUUGUAAAGCCCUUUUGUUGGGAAAGAAAAGCAGCAGGUUAAUACCCCGCUGUUCUGACGGUACCCAAAGAAUAAGCACCGGCUAACUUCGUG